rnacentral:rRNA from 1 species
CAGCCGCCGCGGUAAUACGUAGGUGGCAAGCGUUGUCCGGAAUUAUUGGGCGUAAAGGGCUCGCAGGCGGUUCCUUAAGUCUGAUGUGAAAGCCCCCGGCUCAACCGGGGAGGGUCAUUGGAAACUGGGAAACUUGAGUGCAGAAGAGGAGAGUGGAAUUCCACGUGUAGCGGUGAAAUGCGUAGAGAUGUGGAGGAACACCAGUGGCGAAGGCGACUCUCUGGUCUGUAACUGACGCUGAGGAGCGAAAGCGUGGGGAGCAAACAGGAUUAGAGACCCCCGUAGUCCCUGUCUCUUAUAC